rnacentral:rRNA from 1 species
CAAUAGCGUAUAUUAAAGUUGUUGCAGUUAAAAAGCUCGUAGUUGGAUUUCGGGACGGGCCAGUUGGUCCGCUGCAAGGUGUGUUACUGACUGGUCUGUUCUUCUUCGCAAAGACUGCGUGUGCUCUUCGUUGAGUGUGCGUAGGAUUUACGACGUUUACUUUGAAAAAAUUAGAGUGUUCAAAGCAGGCUAUCGCUUGAAUACAUGAGCAUGGAAUAAUGGAAUAGGACUUUGGUCCUAUUUUGUUGGUUUCUAGGACCGAAGUAAUGAUUAAGAGGGACAAUUGGGGGCAUCCGUAUUUCGUUGUCAGAGGUGAAAUUCUUGGAUUUACGAAAGACGAACAACUGCGAAAGCACUUGCCAAGAGUGUUUUCAUUAA